rnacentral:rRNA from 1 species
AUUGAACGCUGGCGGCAUGCCUUACACAUGCAAGUCGAACGGCAGCACGGGAGCAAUCCUGGUGGCGAGUGGCGAACGGGUGAGUAAAGUAUCGGAGCGUGCCCAGUCGUGGGGGAUAACGUAGCGAAAGUUACGCUAAUACCGCAUACGAUCUAUGGAUGAAAGCGGGGGAUCGCAAGACCUCGCGCGAUUGGAGCGGCCGAUAUCAGAUUAGGUAGUUGGUGGGGUAAAGGCUCACCAAGCCGACGAUCUGUAGCUGGUCUGAGAGGACGACCAGCCACACUGGGACGGAGACACGGGCCAGACUCCUACGGGAGGCAGCAGUGGGGAAUUUUGGACAAUGGGCGAAAGCCUGAUCCAGCCAUGCCGCGUGCAGGAUGAAGGCCUUCGGGUUGUAAACUGCUUUUGUACGGAACGAAAAGGUUUGGCCUAAUAAGCUGAGCUCAUGACGGUACCGUAAGAAUAAGCACCGGCUAACUACGUGCCAGCCGCCGCGGUAA